GAUCUUUAAAGACACUGCCCUAGCUCAGAGGACAGCCAGGAAUAUCCAGUUCUCGAUGCUUGUCGUUCCCUGCCUUUCAGAUUUUGUUAGGAGUCCAAGAGCUGCUCAACGAACCCAACAUACAGGACCCAGCACAGGCUGAAGCCUACACAAUAUACUGUCAGAACAGAAUGGAGUACGAGAAGAGGGUGAGAGCACAGGCCAAGAAGUUUGCGCCCACAUAGGCCUGAACUCUGACCUUUGCACUUUGACCACAGAAGCCAGCACUUGAGGAAGGAGGAGAUGGGACUGGGGAGGGUGACCGGCAGGCACUUGUAAAUAUAUAUAAAUAUAGAGUGAGCUCUGCAGAUGUUUUUUUUAAUUUUAGCGAGUCGGUGUUUGUGUCUUAAUGAUUGGCCAAAACAUGUAAUUAUAUAAAAAAAAUAAAAUUCUGAUUAAAGUCUUG